rnacentral:lncRNA from 1 species
GAAUCCACUCAAGCCACGUCUGGCUGCUUUGCUUUCCAGAGUAGCGCAGCUCCGGGACUGCACUUCUAGCCCUGCAGCCUCCCUCCAGGACUGCGAGCGGCGCCAGAUCCGGGACUUCGGGGUCUCCGCGGGAGCUUAGGAGGCUCAGGAUUUGAGUUGGAGAGCUGGAGAGCCAAAAUCCCAGCCGCCGGGGGACUGCGCAGUAAGACCACAGAAAUAAACCAAAGGGACACCGCGGACAGAUGUACCAGAGGACACCACUGAAGUCCAGGAGAAUCUUCACCAAAGCCAUCAGCGUUUUCCUUGUAGCUUUCUGUCCCUCGAAGUGGAAAAUUGAGGUUUCUGAGAAGUCCACGGAGAGAACCUGCAGCAAACUGAAGCCACAGACUCCGGAGGCACAGGGAGAAAUAAUGCUUCCAUCCUCCUUUCACUUUAAACUUGAUCACUUCUGGGACUUCACUGGAGGGCGGUGGAGUUGCACCAGCCUGGAGUACAGGCAGAUCCCAGUCAUUUUUCUGAGGGCCAAUGGUGAUAAGUGUUGGUCUGCCUAUUUUCCUGGAAUAAUCCACGAUUUGGGGAAAGAAAGAGUAUUUUGCUAAUUUCAGAAAGAAAUUUAGUAAUUACCUCAUGCUGUAUAUGUAGGAAAGAAGACAAAGAAGAAAAAUUCUUUACG